CGGCCUGCAGCAAGCACUGCCUCCUCCGUCCGUAGAAGCCUGCCGACUUCCACUCACCAACCACUUCUCCCUUCCUUCUUGCUACUACAACCCCAACUUGGCCUAGAUACCAGGCACUCGUGUACUCAUGGCCUUCUUCCCAACUCCAGGGAGACACAUGCCAGUUAUUUCAACACAAUCAUGGUAAUUUCACAGCUCUGGCUGGUGAUUGGUUCAAGUGCAUGCAUGUGGACAACGUUGGUCCGUGAGCUGUAAGAAACCUCUUGCCUCCCCCUCCACGUGGGAGCCCUGCUUGGGAUCGACCUGAAUCGGUGCUCAGAUGUGCGAUGGAAGAAGGUGUCUUUCCUGCGGCGAAGUCUCGACAGGGGCUUCUUCCCGCGUCUCCGGCUGGCGUUACAGUGUCACGUCGGGAGGGGAGGGCGCAGAAUUCGGAGGAAGCCCACCCCGGUUGGAGCCCUAACUCUGCCACCAGGGAGCCGUCAGAUUCGAGCAAGCCACUUACUCCUCUGAGUGUCAGUUUCUUCACUGACGGGGCAGAGAUGACAGCGUCUGUCUCGUGGAGUGUUACUAAGAUUGAGGUCAUAAGUUACUGAAGCUCCUCAGUCUGGAAUGGAAAGCACCUUAAUUUUCCUUAUCCCUGGAAGGUAGAAGGUGGGUGUGAUGACUGGAGCUGGAGCAACCAUUUUGUAUCACAAGGAGGAAGCCUCAUGUUGAAACGGCAGAACAAGCAUCUAGAAGGAACCUGGGUCCCUGUACUCCCUCACUGCAGUUUUUGAUUCUGUGAAGCAAGAAAGAAACUCCCACCAUGUUUGUUUCUGCCAUCUUUAAAGUUUGAGUUUCCUCUAUCUCAGAAGGAUAGAAUGAAUCCUGAUAUACUAGUU